GAAUAGGAGAUCCGUUUUCUAUGGCCUUCCUGGGAAAACGAAGCUUUCCAAAUAGUCAAGGCCUGACUGAUUGGCCCAUCAGGCGCAGCACUCCCCACCUCCGUGUGAUUCGGCCUUCCACAGGAAGCAGGCCUGUGAUUUGACCUUCCACAGGAAGCAGGCCUGUGAUUCGGCCUUCCACAGGAAGCAGGCCUGUGAUUUGACCUUCCACAGGAACCAGGCCUGAGUUCUACCAGAAGCUGCUGUGGCCUGGAUGUCGAACAUCUCUGAAGGACUAUGUGCUAGAGACUGUGGGUGCAAUGUGAUCAGCUGCCUCAAACUCCUGCUGCCAUGAUCUCCUCACCAUGAUGGACUGUACCCUCAAACCUGUCAGCCAAACCAAACCCUUCAUCCUUAAGGUUUUUGUCAGUUGCUAUCUGUCACCUCAACAGUAAGAUUGUUCCACCCUUCUAUGAGACAAUAGACUUCAACAUACAUGUCCACAUGUCCCCUUAGAUGACCUGAAUUUAACAGGUCCACAUCUCAUGCAACCAAGUCUUGGCUCAUCCAGUUGCUGCUGCUCAAAGUGCCUUCCGCUCAGCCCACUUGGGUGAUGUACUUUGCCUUCCAGGAUUUGUGAGUAGAGCCUCCUCAUCUGGAACCUCCCUCAGGCAGCACAGUACCUAAGGUGAAAACAGAGAUUGACCUCUUUCCCCAUCUAAUUUCCCGCAUCAGCUGCUGACACUGUGAUUUACCUGAACGCUUUGUUUUAGUCUCCAAACCAAUGUUUGCUAAGAGAGUGAGCGCAUAGACCCCUCGAAAACAGCAUCACGUUCGUCAAGAAGUUUUGAAUCUUCCUGUUUUCUUCCCCUUGUUGGCUCCUUAAAUAAAUGUAACCCCAGCUUAAUGCUGCUGUCCAUAGUGCUACAAGGCCUGUCUGAUUCCAUCUUAAAA